UCACUGCUGAAGAGUCCCACAAUAGGACGAAACGGCCGUCCAGUAC
rnacentral:hammerhead_ribozyme from 1 species